CUACGGGAGGCAGCAGUGGGGAAUUUUGGACAAUGGGGGCAACCCUGAUCCAGCCAUGCCGCGUGCGGGAAGAAGGCCUUCGGGUUGUAAACCGCUUUUGUUCGGGAAGAAAUCGACCUCGCUAAUACCGGGGUUGGAUGACGGUACCGGAAGAAUAAGCACCGGCUAACUACGUGCCAGCAGCCGCGGUAAUACGUAGGGUGCGAGCGUUAAUCGGAAUUACUGGGCGUAAAGCGUGCGCAGGCGGUUUCGCAAGUCAGAUGUGAAAGCCCCGGGCUUAACCUGGGAACUGCAUUUGAAACUACGAGGCUAGAGUGUGUCAGAGGGGGGUAGAAUUCCACGUGUAGCAGUGAAAUGCGUAGAGAUGUGGAGGAACACCGAUGGCGAAGGCAGCCCCCUGGGAUAACACUGACGCUCAUGCACGAAAGCGUGGGGAGCAAACAGGAUUAGAAACCCUGGUAGUCC
rnacentral:rRNA from 1 species